GGCACCCGGGGCAGCACCCGGGCAGCACCCAGGGCACCCGGGGCACCCCCCAGGGCAGCACCCAGGUCAGCACCUAGGGUGGCACCCGGGGCACCCACCAGGACAGCACCUAGGGCAGCACCCAGGGCACACGGGGCACCCCCCAGGGCAGCACCCAGGGAAGCACCUAGGGUAGCACCCGGGGCACCCACCAGGGCAGCACCCAGGGCAGAGCCUAGGGUAGCACCCAGGGCAGCACCCAGGGCAGCACCUAGGGUAGCACCCAGGGCAGCACCCAGGGCAGCACCCAGGGCAGCCCCCGGGGCAGCACCUGGGGCACCCCCCAGGGCAGCACCCAGGGCAGCACCUAGGGUAGCACCCAGGGCAGCACCCAGGACAGCACCUAGGGCACCCGGGGCAGCACCCAGGACAGCACCUAGGGCACCCGGGGCAGCACCCAGGGCACCCCCCAGGGCAGCACCCGGGGCACCCUGCAGGGCAGCACCCGGGGCAGCAUCCAGGGCAGCAGCCAGGGAAGCACCCAGAGUCGGGGCAGCACCCAGGGCAGCACCCAAGGCACCUGGGGCACCCCCCAGGGCAGCACCCGGGGCAGCAGCCCGGUCUUCCCUCCGCCGCCCGCCCUGCGAAGGAAGGAGGGGACACGCGUGGCCCCUCACAGUGCAAGCCUGCAAACAAGCGGGGGGGGGGGCCUCUAGGGCCGUCGCCAGGGGCCCCCCUUUUUCACCCAUCCCCCAGUUCGCCUCCUUCACCCUCUGGAUCGUCUUUCUGGCUGUUUCCCCAACAAGUAUUUAUGGAGCGCCUACAGUAUACCAGGCUCUGCUCUACCCGCUAGGAAAACCCGCAGGGCCGGGCAGCGGGGGAGCCCCGGGGCUUUGUGUUCGGGUGUGGCCCCUGUGCAGAAUGCGAGUGUCCGGGACGGAGAAGGUUGGCCUGGGCCUCAAGCCGAGGAGGGCGCGUGGAGAGCUUGCGUGGCAGCAAGAGACAGGUGCCUCCCGUCUCCACCCAAACCACACCCCUUCCACAGUGCACUCGGGCUGGAGAGGAGGGGAGGCGGUCCUGGGUGUGACUCCCCCUCCUUGA
rnacentral:lncRNA from 1 species